CAUUAGAUACCCGUGUAGUCCUAGCCGUAAACGAUACUCGCUAGGUGUCGGCCACGGUGCGACCGUUGUCGGUGCCGUAGGGAAGCCGUGAAGCGAGCCACCUGGGAAGUACGGCCGCAAGGCUGAAACUUAAAGGAAUUGGCGGGGGAGCACAACAACGGGUGGAGCUUGCGGUUUAAUUGGACUCAACGCCGGGAAGCUCACCGGAUAAGACAGCGGAAUGAUUGCCGGGCUGAAGACUCUGCAUGACUAGCUG
rnacentral:rRNA from 1 species